rnacentral:rRNA from 1 species
AGAGUUUGAUCCUGGCUCAGGAUGAACGCUGGCGGUCUGCUUAACACAUGCAAGUCGAACGGGCGUAGAAAUACGUUAGUGGCGGACGGGUGAGUAACGCGUGAGAAUCUGCCUUCAGGAUGGGGACAACAGCUGGAACGGCUGCUAAAACCCGAUGUGCCGAGAGGUGAAAUAUUUAUAGCCUGAAGAGGAGCUCGCGUCUGAUUAGCUAGUUGGUGGGGUAAAGGCUUACCAAGGCUGCGAUCAGUAGCUGGUCUGAGAGGAUGAGCAGCCACACUGGGGACUGAGACACGGCCCAGACUCCUACGGGGAGGCAGCAGUGGGGGAUUUUCCGCAAUGGGCGAAAGCCUGGACGGGACAAGACCGCGUGAGGGGAGGAGGGCUCUUGGGGUCGUAAACCCUCUUUUUGUCAGGGGGAGAAAGAACUGACGGUACCUGACGAAUCAGCAUCGGGCUAACUCCGUGCCAGCAGCCGCGGGUAAGACGGAAGGAUGCAAGCGU